AUCCAGAUGACGAGUUCCAAAUAGGACAAAAGGCGAGUCAAACUGGAU
rnacentral:hammerhead_ribozyme from 1 species